AUUGAACGCUGGCGGCAGGCCUAACACAUGCAAGUCGAACGAGUGGCGGACGGGUGAGUAAUGUCUGGGAAACUGCCUGAUGGAGGGGGAUAACUACUGGAAACGGUAGCUAAUACCGCAUACCAUCGGAUGUGCCCAGAUGGGAUUAGCUAGUAGGUGGGGUAAAGGCUCACCUAGGCGACGAUCCCUAGCUGGUCUGAGAGGAUGACCAGCCACACUUGAACUGAGACACGGUGCAGACGCCUACGGGAGGUCGCAGUGGGGAAGAGUGCACAAUGGGCGCAAGCCUGAUGAAGCCACGCCGCGUGAAUGAAGAAGGCCGUCGGGUUGGAAAGUACUUUCAGCGAGGAGGCGUUACCCGCAGAAGAAGCCCCGGCUAACUCCGUGCCAGCCGCCGCGGUAAUAC
rnacentral:rRNA from 1 species